CAGCAGCCGCGGUAAUACAGAGGGUGCGAGCGUUAAUCGGAUUUACUGGGCGUAAAGCGUGCGUAGGCGGCUAAUUGAGUCGGAUGUGAAAUCCCUGAGCUUAACUUAGGAAUUGCAUUCGAUACUGGGAAGCUAGAGUAUGGGAGAGGAUGGUAGAAUUCCAGGUGUAGCGGUGAAAUGCGUAGAGAUCUGGAGGAAUACCGAUGGCGAAGGCAGCCAUCUGGCCUAAUACUGACGCUGAGGUACGAAAGCAUGGGGAGCAAACAGGAUUAGAUACCCGAGUAGUCCCUGUCUCUUAUAC
rnacentral:rRNA from 1 species